rnacentral:rRNA from 1 species
AUUGAACGCUGGCGGCAGGCCUAACACAUGCAAGUCGAGCGGAUGAAGGGAGCUUGCUCCUGGAUUCAGCGGCGGACGGGUGAGUAAUGCCUAGGAAUCUGCCUGGUAGUGGGGGAUAACGUCCGGAAACGGGCGCUAAUACCGCAUACGUCCUGAGGGAGAAAGUGGGGGAUCUUCGGACCUCACGCUAUCAGAUGAGCCUAGGUCGGAUUAGCUAGUUGGUGGGGUAAAGGCCUACCAAGGCGACGAUCCGUAACUGGUCUGAGAGGAUGAUCAGUCACACUGGAACUGAGACACGGUCCAGACUCCUACGGGAGGCAGCAGUGGGGAAUAUUGGACAAUGGGCGAAAGCCUGAUCCAGCCAUGCCGCGUGUGUGAAGAAGGUCUUCGGAUUGUAAAGCACUGUUAGUUGGGAGGAAGGGCAGUAAGUUAAUACCUUGCUGUUUUGACGUUACCAACAGAAUAAGCACCGGCUAACUUCGUG